GCACUCACUAAUUAUCAUGAAAUAUAAUUAUCAAGCAAGUAAAGAAAAAGACGGUGAUCAUGUAUUUUUGCAGAGGUGCCGGCCCGGCACCAACUCGCCAUGACUCUCCAGCAGCUCUGGGACAUCACCCUCUCUCACAC